CCCCACAUUGUCUCGUGGUUAGGAUUCCUGGUUUCCAUCUCGGUGGCCCAGGUUCGACUCCUGGUGUGGGAA
rnacentral:tRNA from 1 species